AUGCACAAGAGCUCAGUAGAAAUUCGCAAAGAAACGCAACUGAGGGAAGAAGAUCGGAGAAGUGCGAAUCGGAAAUGUUCAAGGUUGAGACACGAGGUUCAAAAUCUUCCUUGUACAUACAAAUGUCGGCAUGAUGCUGCUAUACCAAGUACUUCUUUAGAGUACUGGAUUAUAAAACUACUACUUCACCACCUAUCUAUAUUAGUCCACUUGACUUAG